GUUGGGUAGGGGAGCGUUCUGUAAGCCUGUGAAGGUGGCCUGUGAGGGUUGCUGGAGGUAUCAGAAGUGCGAAUGCUGACAUAAGUAACGAUAAAGCGGGUGAAAAGCCCGCUCGCCGGAAGACCAAGGGUUCCUGUCCAACGUUAAUCGGGGCAGGGUGAGUCGACCCCUAAGGCGAGGCCGAAAGGCGUAGUCGAUGGGAAACGGGUUAAUAUUCCCGUACUUGGUGUUACUGCGAAGGGGGGACGGAGAAGGCUAUGUUGGCCGGGCGACGGUUGUCCCGGUUUAAGCGUGUAGGUGUGUGUUCCAGGUAAAUCCGGUUCACUUUAACACUGAGGCGUGACGACGAGGCACUACGGUGCUGAAGCAACAAAUGCCCUGCUUCCAGGAAAAGCCUCUAAGCAUCAGGUAACAUCAAAUCGUACCCCAAACCGACACAGGUGGUCAGGUAGAGAAUACCAAGGCGCUUGAGAGAACUCGGGUGAAGGAACUAGGCAAAAUGGUGCCGUAACUUCGGGAGAAGGCACGCUGACACGUAGGUGAAGUGAUUUACUCAUGGAGCUGAAGUCAGUCGAAGAUACCAGCUGGCUGCAACUGUUUAUUAAAAACACAGCACUGUGCAAACACGAAAGUGGACGUAUACGGUGUGACGCCUGCCCGGUGCCGGAAGGUUAAUUGAUGGGGUCAGCGCAAGCGAAGCUCCUGAUCGAAGCCCCGGUAAACGGCGGCCGUAACUAUAACGGUCCUAAGGUAGCGAAAUUCCUUGUCGGGUAAGUUCCGACCUGCACGAAUGGCGUAAUGAUGGCCAGGCUGUCUCCACCCGAGACUCAGUGAAAUUGAACUCGCUGUGAAGAUGCAGUGUACCCGCGGCAAGACGGAAAGACCCCGUGAACCUUUACUAUAGCUUGACACUGAACAUUGAGCCUUGAUGUGUAGGAUAGGUGGGAGGCUUUGAAGUGUGGACGCCAGUCUGCAUGGAGCCGACCUUGAAAUACCACCCUUUAAUGUUUGAUGUUCUAACGUGGACCCGUAAUCCGGGUUGCGGACAGUGUCUGGUGGGUAGUUUGACUGGGGCGGUCUCCUCCUAAAGAGUAACGGAGGAGCACGAAGGUUGGCUAAUCCUGGUCGGACAUCAGGAGGUUAGUGCAAUGGCAUAAGCCAGCUUGACUGCGAGCGUGACGGCGCGAGCAGGUGCGAAAGCAGGUCAUAGUGAUCCGGUGGUUCUGAAUGGAAGGGCCAUCGCUCAACGGAUAAAAGGUACUCCGGGGAUAACAGGCUGAUACCGCCCAAGAGUUCAUAUCGACGGCGGUGUUUGGCACCUCGAUGUCGGCUCAUCACAUCCUGGGGCUGAAGUAGGUCCCAAGGGUAUGGCUGUUCGCCAUUUAAAGUGGUACGCGAGCUGGGUUUAGAACGUCGUGAGACAGUUCGGUCCCUAUCUGCCGUGGGCGCUGGAGAACUGAGGGGGGCUGCUCCUAGUACGAGAGGACCGGAGUGGACGCAUCACUGGUGUUCGGGUUGUCAUGCCAAUGGCACUGCCCGGUAGCUAAAUGCGGAAGAGAUAAGUGCUGAAAGCAUCUAAGCACGAAACUUGCCCCGAGAUGAGUUCUCCCUGAGACUUUAGGUCUCCUGAAGGAACGUUGAAGACGACGACGUUGAUAGGCCGGGUGUGUAAGCGCAGCGAUGCGUUGAGCUAACCGGUACUAAUGAACCGUGAGGCUUAACC
rnacentral:rRNA from 1 species